CUCUGCAGGGGGAGAGCAGGACAUGGUGACAAGGGUCACAUGGUGAUGGUUUUGUGAGGAUUUUGACUUAACCUAAAGACUCCAGAAAGCCAUUGCUUGGAGAAGAUCAGAUUCUUUUUUUUUUUUUUUUUUGAAUUUUGGGGAAGGUCAUUCUGUGCUAGAGUGGAGUGGAGUGAAGCAGAUUGACAGGAGAUUUGAGCGAAUGUGGGGAGACCAGUUAGCCUUCUAUAAUAGUCUGCAAGGGGAUGAUAGGUGCUUUGUGAGAAUUCAAUAUUAAACUCUCCAUUCUGAGAGACCACUUAAGUAUGUGAAAACUGUGUAAUUGUGUGAAACAGCACGUGCCUCCUUUAAUAAGUGUGAAGAUUUUGGAGCUGUCUGGUGGCCUGGCAGUGAUUCAGUGUUGUCACUCCUGUGGCUUGGGUUCAGUCCCUGGCCUGGGAACUUCUGCAUGCCACAGGCAUGGCCAAAAAUAAAGAAGUGUAAAAUUUUAUAUAGUGUGUAUAGUUCUUCUCAGAUCUCAUUUAAGGAUCCUGAAUUCCCUCAAGGAUCUGUAUCAUAAAGAUAGCAUGCAGCUCUUAUGAAAUCUUUAUUCUUUUCCCCCUCUGGGUGGGGGAAGGUGUCCUUUAUUUCUUUUAAAUAAAACUUUAAUAUUCAAAUUAUAAAGUCUUUGGUCAUACUGAUUUAGAAAGCAGAUUUUUCUUUUCAGUUUUAAACACAUCCAACUCCAACUCUAAAAUACUUGACCCUUAAUUAACUAGUAAGAUAGGGAAUUCAGUUUGCCUAAAUGUUAAAUACUGCCAUUUAAAAUUUGGAAGUCCAAAGCCAGAAAGGCUGAGGUGACCAUAGUCAAGCCAAGUGAACUCUUUUUGAGAAAUGAGAUAAGCUUGUUAAAUGAGCACAGUUCCAAGGAGUUUGUCAUAUCAAGACUGGAGAAGCAGGUGCCAGUUGUUGGGGGCCUCAGGAUGAAACCUUGUGCCUGGCCAGAGGAUUCUUAAUUGUUUCCAUCUCUCAUGCAGCUCAGAUGAAUGUGAAGUUGUGCUCAUAAAAAUCUUCUGUAUUCCUUAUCUGUCUUUCUCUUCCAGGAGGAAUAGAAACUUUAUAUAGCAGACUUAUAAGAAUAUAAGAAAAUUUUAGGGUUCAAUUUUGAGUUUCUUUUACUGAGAAAAUUUGAAGAGAAGGGUAGAAGUAGUCAGUGGAGAGAAGAGAGAGGGAGUAUCCUCUUGUUUUCCUUUAAAAGAAUGGGAUUGUAGUCCAUGUUUAUCGGCAGAGAAGGAGCCAACAGAAAGGAAGAGCUUACCUGUAUGAUAGAAAGUCUGUCACUUUGCAAGAAAACUACAAAACCUCACUGAUAUACCUUCCCAAAGUUAGCCAGCUUCAUGGUUUGAGAGCAUAGUCCUCAAAACUACCUUCACUUCUGUCUGACACUUGUUGCACGUUCAUGAGGUUCCCAGAACUACCUUAAUCAUUUGCUAGAAGAACUCAUAGAACUCACUGAGAGCUGUUAUCCUCCUGGUUAUGGUUAUUACAGGAAAGGGAUACAGAUCAAAAUCAGCCAGAGGAGGAGAGCCAUAGGGCAGAGUUUGGGAAAGUUCUAAAUGUGUGUAGCUUCUCUCUUCUCCCCUGGAGUCAGGAUGGGUUCCCCUCCCAGUAUCUAUGAGAUAUUUCUAUCAAAUGUACAUAGAUUACCUCCCAGAAGCUGAGGCAAAGGUCACAUUUCUCUCUGGACAAGGCCAACUUUUACAACAUAGAUUUUUAAAGGAUUGCUUUGAGUUUUAUGUUGAGAUUGAUCUUGAAUAGGGGCAAGGGUGGAAAGAGACCCAGUUAGGAGUGUUUGCUGUAGUCCAGAGGGAAUGCUGGCUUGACCUCAGCUGAUAGCAGUAGGGUAAGGUAACAAGAGUGGUUCCAGUCUGGAAAUAUUUUGAUGGAAAGGGGCAACGAGAUCUUUUGGUGUAGUUAAUUUAUGUAUGCGAGAAAAGAAGGAGGACUCCAUGAUACCUCGUGAGACUUUUGGCUUGAACAGCUGCAAGGAUGGAGAUGUCGUUACUGAGAUAUUGGAGAGCCAGUUGUUCAUCAUAAGAAUUAGGUGGCUUCUACCACUACCACCAGUUAAGAGCAUAGGCGAAAUACUCUCUGAUGUCAGCUGUACAAAUGUUUUCUUAGGUCAGUCUCUCAAAGCAAUAGAAACAAAAACAAAAA
rnacentral:lncRNA from 1 species